UUGAACAACAAAAUUUGGAAACUUUAUUUCCAGAUGGAGAAGGGAAUAUACCAUUAACAAGAAUUCCUGAUGAUGAAGAAAAUAUACAUGAAGAAGACUAAUGACAAAGUUUCAGCCCCUACCCAAAAUAGAAGUGGCCAACCAUCAUCUAUAAUGUGUCCACCUACGCCUCAUCCAUCUUGCCCAACACGUCACAUGAAUUCCCAUCCUAUAGAGAAUAAUAAUGAGCAACCUCCACC